ACCGGCGGCUCGAGUGGUGGCCACUAUUACUGGGCUUAAAGCGUUCGUAGCUGGCUUGUUAAGUCUCUGGGGAAAUCUUCCGGCUCAACCGGAAGGCGUCUCAGGGAUACUGGCAGGCUAGGGACCGGAAGGGGUGAAAGGUACUCCAGGGGUACGAGUGAAAACCGGGGAUCCUAGGGGGACCAACGAUGGCGGAGGCAUCACACCAGGUCAGCACCCACAGUGAUCCCCGAAAGAGUGUAGAGCAAAGAG
rnacentral:rRNA from 1 species